rnacentral:misc_RNA from 1 species
UCCCUUCUCUCCGUAAUGUGAAUUGCAGAAUUCAGUUCCUCAUCUCAUCUUUGAACGCACCUUGCGCUCCUUGGUAUUCCUUGGAGCAUGCCUGUUUGAGUAUCAUGAAAUCUUCAAAGUAAAUCUUUUGUUAACUCAAUUGGUUUCUACUUUGGUAUUGGAGGUCUUUGCAGCUUCACACCUGCUCCUCUUUGUUCAUUAGCUGGAUCUCAGUGUUAUGCUUGGUUCCACUCGGCGUGAUAAGUUAUCUAUCGCUGAGGACACUGUAAAAGGUGGCCAAGGUAAAUGCAGAUGAACCGCUUCUAAUAGUCCAUUGACUUGGACAAUACUUUUAUGAUCUGAUCUCAAAUCAGGUAGGACUACCCGCUGAACUUAAGA